rnacentral:misc_RNA from 1 species
GGCCAAAUGCCAGAUAGAGCAGGUUUUAUUGGUUUAUGGAAGAUUGUGGUAGUGAAGAAUCUUCCAUAUACUGAUAUGCGGAGAGUGGGCAAAAUACCAAAAUUGUUGCCACACCGGCUUUUCCCUUCUGCUAGGUAUUCAAUCUGGUUGGAUAGCAAAUUACGUCUUCAACUUGACCCUUUGCUCGUUCUGGAAUAUUUUCUGUGGCGUAAAGGUCAUGAAUUUGCCAUUUCUAAUCACUAUGAUCGCCAUUGCCUGUGGGAAGAAGUUGCACAGAACAAGAGAUUGAACAAGUACAAUCAUACUGUUAUAGAUCAGCAAUUUACUUUCUACCAGGCUGAUGGACUGAAAAGAUUCAAUGCCUCUGAUCCAAACAAGCUUCUUCCCAGCAAUGUACCUGAAGGAUCUUUAAUUGUAAGAGCGCACACUCCCAUGUCAAACCUGUUCUCAUGUCUUUGGUUCAAUGAGGUUGAUCGCUUCACUCCUCGUGAUCAACUUAGUUUCGCAUAUACAUACCAGAAAUUGAGAAGGAUGAAUCUGGGCAAACCAUUUUAUCUAAACAUGUUCAAGGAUUGCGAGAGAAGAGCCGUAGCAAAGUUGUUUCGUCACAGGUCAGCUGAGAAGCGAAAUAUUCUUCAUCAACAUCAACAAGCAACAGAAUAAAAUGCAAGAGGCAUUCAUGUUUUUUGAAGCCUAUUUCUGUACAUUAUUCUUUACCACACAAAAGAUUUAGUGCCUGCUGAUGGUUUAGUGCCCCAGAAUGCUACAGAAAUGCUGGUAGCUGACGACACACUUCAAAUCUUGCAAUUUAAAUGUGAAGGAAAUGCAUAUUGGAUGCAAGACUCUAGUUAUUCCUUGGGGCGAGGAAUUCCUUUCGACUUCAUUAAAAUACAUCAUCUCUGUGGAAAAGUAACUAGUAAUAUAACUGAAAGCUUCUUCAUUGUACCCAAUUCCAUUCUCUAUUCUUUGUUCCAUUGAGGCCAGCCAUGCACUUAAUGCCUUUUGUACCAUUACUUCCAGU